rnacentral:rRNA from 1 species
UACGGAGGGUGCGAGCGUUGUCCGGAAUCACUGGGCGUAAAGGGCGCGUAGGCGGCUUCUCAAGCGUGUGGUGAAAGUCCGGGGCUCAACCCCGGAUCGGCCGUGCGAACUGGGGGGCUGGAGCACUGUAGAGGCAGGCGGAAUUCCGGGUGUAGCGGUGGAAUGCGUAGAGAUCCGGAAGAACACCGGUGGCGAAGGCGGCCUGCUGGGCAGUUUUGCUGACACUGAGGCGCGACAGCGUGGGGAGCAAACAGG